GCAAGAUAAACAAGAGUUUUGCCAAAUAUGAUUCGACCGCGGUUUCGCGAUCAGAGCCGAGAGCAAAGUUCUCUUUACCAUUCGUUUGUGUUCCACGUAAAAUGUAAAUCAUUACACAUCCACGCGGUAGGUUGUAUAUUUAUAAGGUAUUGGAGGAACAAUUCGAACGCCAUUAAACAUGCAUCACGGUGUCGAUACUGUGGGCGAAACGCUUCGGGGAUCCAAACUCCGAGGUUAAACUCUCGGCAUUCUGUGACGACUAAUUUGUGCGUGACCUCAGCUACGAUUCACGUCGACGAUCGUGACGUCACAUCCAACAACUACCAACGCGGCAGACGUUGGAUCCGAAAUAGUCUUGGUCGUCUUGGAGGCACGCCGAUCGAUCUUCGCUUCCAAAACCGUUUUGUCGGGCAAAUUUUGUCGGAGUUGUUCUUUGCAGUCGCUCUGUUGCAUCGAUAACUAAACUACAGUCACAGACGAUGAUAAGAAUAUGAAAAUUUUGUGAAGUAAACAUUUCACAUUGUGCGUUGAUUCUCGUUUUAAUUGUCAUUGAAUAAUGGGGCGCGAGAUUUUAAUCCAGUCUUGAGGAAAUCCGUAAAAUUGGCAUUUCCUGUCGCUGACCCCACGGAACAAACUUCAAACUUGCGCAGCAGUCAACGCCAAUUGGACAGACUUACCGUGGCUCAUUCUGAUACCUAUUCAAAUGCGCCUCUGAAAUGGGAGCAAUGAAAAUACGUGCAAUACAAGAAUAUAUCUCCAUGUAAAUCAAGCACACCACACUUAUUCAAUUCUGCUAGGAGCACCACAACUACACUAAAGAAAGACUAUAGCUAGAGGAGGGGGUUAAUCAGAAUCAACGUAUAAAUACUGUACAUACAUUAUCGUUCUGACUUAAGCUAUUCGGUGAAAUACACAUGACAAAACAUGACAGAGGAAUUUUGAAGGGGUCAUCAUUUUCUAGCCACCAUUGCGUGAGCCUGAGUUUUGAGUCUAAUUUUUGCUGAUUACCGUAAACCCCCGCAGCAUUCGUUUCAUUGAGCGCAAUCCUUCGUACAAAGUAACACCUUUCUCGUAAUUCCGGACCACAAACCUUGCUUCACUUGAGGUAUUAUCACUAAUCCUCAAACGAUGCACUUCAUUCGAACGUAUAUACUUGAUACACAGGUACGAAUUGGGAUUUUGUUAUUUUACUCACAUAUUGUAAUAUAUUUAUCAUCCGGCUACGCGAAGGCAAAUAAAAAUCAGCUUAUGCGUGACGUAUACUUGAGGGAAUCGACGUAUUUAAAGUAGUGCGCAAUGGUACGAAGUCGCACCAGUGUACCGUUUGAGCUUUAACAAUUUACUCAUCGUUCCAAAUUGUGGUGUGUAUAACGCUAGCAAAGCAGAGUCACUAUCCAGUUGCUUCU